rnacentral:rRNA from 1 species
AGUGAACGCUGGCGGCGUGCUUAAGACAUGCAAGUCGAACGGCAGUCUUCGGACUGUAGUGGCGCACGGGUGAGUAACGCGUAACUGACCUACCCCAAAGUCGCGGAUAACGAUUCGAAAGAAUCGCUAAUACGUGAUGUGCUGUCAGAUUGUGUUCUGCUAGUAACGAUUGAUUGCUUUGGGAUGGGGUUGCGUUCCAUCAGCUGGUUGGUGGGGUAAAGGCCCACCAAGGCGACGACGGAUAGCCGGCCUGAGAGGGUGGCCGGCCACAGGGGCACUGAGACACGGGUCCCACUCCUACGGGAGGCAGCAGUUAGGAAUCUUCCACAAUGGGCGAAAGCCUGAUGGAGCGACGCCGCGUGAGGGAUGAAGGUCUUCGGAUCGUAAACCUCUGAAUCAGGGACGAAAGACACUUCGGUGGGAUGACGGUACCUGAGUAAUAGCACCGGCUAACUCCGUGCCAGCAGCCGCAGUAACAC